GACGAACGCUGGCGGCGUGCUUAACACAUGCAAGUCGAACGGAAAGGCCCUGCUUUUGUGGGGUGCUCGAGUGGCGAACGGGUGAGUAACACGUGAGUAACCUUCCCUUGACUUUGGGAUAACUUCAGGAAACUGGGGCUAAUACCGGAUAGGAGCUCCUGCUGCAUGGUGGGGGUUGGAAAGUUUCGGCGGUUGGGGAUGGACUCGCGGCUUAUCAGCUUGUUGGUGGGGUAGUGGCUUACCAAGGCUUUGACGGGUAGCCGGCCUGAGAUGGUGACCGGCCACAUUGGGACUGAGAUACGGCCCAGACUCCUACGGGAGGCAGCAGUGGGGAAUAUUGCACAAUGGGCGGAAGCCUGAUGCAGCAACGCCGCGUGCGGGAUGACGGCCUUCGGGUUGUAAACCGCUUUCGCCUGUGACGAAGCGUGAGUGACGGUAAUGGGUAAAGAAGCACCGGCUAACUACGUG
rnacentral:rRNA from 1 species